rfam:Acinetobacter gerneri DSM 14967 = CIP 107464 genomic scaffold acLZs-supercont1.35, whole genome shotgun sequence.
AAGCGAAACACAGGCAUUCGUGCCUGUGUCUGCUGGAUGUCGUGAUCCAGUACUGACGAGCAGCGAGAG